GUUAAAUGCGGACAAAUGACCCAGCAACAUGCUCAGAGACAUGGGAUACCACCAAGAAGGGCUGGUUGUGUGUCCUUCCUGCUCUGACAGACUGCGGUGCCUGUGGCUCUGGGGGCUUAUAUUUUCAUUCCAGAUGUCCCCAAGAGCUGAACACCGGGUGGGCAUGGCGCAGCUAGCAGGUACAGAGAGACAAAAUUUGGGCCCAAGAAGUGGUUGCAUGGCUGCUAGAAUUGAUGAAGUAUUCCUUCUGAACAGUGGAAAUGUUAUCAGCUUGGUCAUCCUCGUGAGAUCUCUAGUAUCUGCGGGGACAUGCAAGAAAACACUUCACAGAGCAAGUUCCUCUUUGGGCAUCAUGGGAUUCGAAGCGCCUUCUGGGGCUCUUGAUGUUCACAUCUGUUGGUUGUAUGUUUGAAGUUCCAGUUUGGACCUGCUCUUGGCUCAGAAAAAAGAGGAAGAACACGAUAUUGUCCUAAAGGAGGGUGCUGGCAUGAAGCCUUGAGCGGUCACUUGUGACAGGGAGCUUUGCUUUGCCCCUGUCUGAAAUGGGAGGAGGAGGACAGCACCACUGGGGAGCUGCAGGACUCCAAGUUGCUCAGACGACUGCUUCCCAAGCCACAGUGCACAGAACAGUAUCACCACCGGUUUGGUGAUGGAGGUGGGUGAUAUCAGCUCUUGGUAGCACAUUGAUAAAUAUGCAUUAAACUGCACAACCUCAAAAUCCUCCUCUCUCCAGCACAUUUCUG
rnacentral:lncRNA from 1 species